UCAGUUCAUGGUGAGCAUUGGUUUUUGUUUGUUGUCGACAUUAUAGCAAGAAAAUUUGUCUUCCUAGAUUCAUAUUAUGAAGGGAACACACCAUUCCAUAUCGGGAUCAGAGAUUUGAUGAUAAAUAAUUUCAUAAAAACAUGGGAAGAAUCUAAUCUGAGAGGGAUGGGUUUCAGAAAGUUUGGUGUAGAGUACCCAAACAUGCCAAAGCAAAUAGGAAGCGACAGUUCACGAUGAACGACGUAGCAGAUGCAAGGGUUAGAUUUGCUGUUGACAUUCUGUUUAGUAUUCACAACACAGAGGAUAAAGGCAAAGCACUAGUCAAGAACUUUGCAUGGUAAAUUGAAGGUCAAGCAGCCAAUCAACUAUAACAUUUGUUUGUAAUGCAUGGAGGAAUACUACAAGAAGGGCUUUCAGCAAGAUGAUAAAAAACAAUCACAAAAGUUUAACAACAUCACACAACAUCCCGUGUACAUGGAGGAACAAUAUGAUUUUCUUUUUUUGAAAGCGAAUACAAGUUGUAUAGCAGUGUCGUAGAAACUGGUCAUUAACCGGAAAACAAUUCGGAUUGUGUCAUUUUGUUUUCAGAUCAAUAUCGAAAACAUCAGUUCUUACAGUGUUCUUUUUCUUUUUUUAUUUGUUUUUAUGUUUGAUUAUUUUCAGUAUCCCUCUUUUUCUAACAUUUUUUAUGUAUUCUGUUGCGGCACGUGUACAUUAUUUUUUGACCUUGUUCAUUUGUUUUCUAUCAUUUUCCCCCAUCAUUUCUUUGGUGCAGGAUUUCAAAAUUCUUUUUGCGCACGGAAUCUACAGCACAAGUGAAAAAGUGGAUGGAAAUUUUCCAAGGGACAUACUGUGUUAAGUCACUAACCUGAGAACCAAACAUAGUAGCUCCAUACGGAUCAAGAACAGCUGCAAUCAAUGUCAAGAGUUUCUUUGUCAGAAUUCUGAAGAAUAAAAGGGCAAGAUAGUACAAGAACAGAGACAAGAAUGCAUGAUCUGGGCAAGGAGAGACAAGAAUCCUAGAUCUGGAGAGGGGAGAAGCAUGCAUACCCUGGGGAAAGGUUUGUGCCCUGGCGGCUGGGGCUGGAGGAGGAAGGAGGAGGAG